GCUGAAGAACGUAGCGAAAUGCGAUAAGUAAUGUGAAUUGCAGAAUUCAGUGAAUCAUCGAAUCUUUGAACGCACCUUGCACCCUUUGGCAUUCCGAAGGGUAUGCUCGUUUGAGUGUCAUUGUACUCUCACACUCCCGAUCUUUGGAUCGGGAGUGGUGGACUUGGGUGUUGCUGCUUUACCGUGGCUCACCUCAAAUGGAUUCGUGCAACUCCUGGUUGGACAUAGUACGGCGUGAUAAGUGUCUUCGCCGGCAUCUCACUAGAGGGUGGCUGACCGGGAGCUCUGUGCUUCAAACCGUCUUCGGACAACAACUGACAACUUGACCUCAAAUCGAGUAGGACCACCCGCUGAACUUAAGCAUAUCAAUAAGCGGAGGA
rnacentral:misc_RNA from 1 species